GAACUGCGAUAAGUAAUGUGAAUUGCAGAAUUCAGUGAAUCAUCGAGUCUUUGAACGCACAUUGCGCCCCCUGGCAUUCCGGGGGGCAUGCCUGUCCGAGCGUCAUUGCUGCCCUUCAAGCCCGGCUUGUGUGUUGGGUCGUCGUCCCCUCCGGGGGACGGGCCCGAAAGGCAGCGGCGGCACCGCGUCCGGUCCUCGAGCGUAUGGGGCUUUGUCACCCGCUCGAUGAGGACCGGCCGGGCGCCAGCCGGCGUCUCCAACCUUUUUUUCUCAGGUUGACCUCGGAUCAGGUAGGGAUACCCGCUGAACUUAAGC
rnacentral:misc_RNA from 1 species